rnacentral:pre_miRNA from 1 species
GUAGUUGGAUUUGCAUCAAUCAACAUGUGUUGGAGUGAAACUUGAACUAAAUUCUACCCCAACACAUGUGGAUUGAGGUAAAUCCGACA